rnacentral:rRNA from 1 species
CAGAGGGUGCAAACGUUGUUCGGAAUUACUGGCGUAAAGCGCGUGUAGGCGGCCCUGCAAGUCGGGUGUGAAAUCCCACGGCUCAACCGUGGAAGUGCACUCGAAACUGCAGGGCUAGAGUCCCUGGAGAGGAAGGUGGAAUGCUUGGUGUAGAGGUGAAAUUCGUAGAUAUCAAGCGGAACACCGGUGGCGAAGGCGGCCUUCUGGACAGUGACUGACGCUGAGACGCGAAAGCGUGGGGAGCAAACAGGAUUAGAUACCCCUGGUAGUCCACGCCGUAAACGAUGAGUGCUAGGUGUCACGGGCUUUGACCCUCGUGGUGCCGUAAGCUAACGCGUUAAGCACUCCGCCUGGGGACGUACGGCCGCAAGGCUA